rnacentral:rRNA from 1 species
AUUGAACGCUGGCGGCAUGCCUUACACAUGCAAGUCGAACGGCAGCACGGGAGCAAUCCUGGUGGCGAGUGGCGAACGGGUGAGUAAUAUAUCGGAACGUGCCCAGUCGUGGGGGGAUAACGCAGCGAAAGCUGUGCUAAUACCGCAUACGAUCUAUGGAUGAAAGCGGGGGAUCGCAAGACCUCGCGCGAUUGGAGCGGCCGAUAUCAGAUUAGCUAGUUGGUGGGGUAAAAGCCCACCAAGGCGACGAUCUGUAGCUGGUCUGAGAGGACGACCAGCCACACUGGAACUGAGACACGGUCCAGACCCCUACGGGAGGCAGCAGUGGGGAAUUUUGGACAAUGGGCGCAAGCCUGAUCCAGCAAUGCCGCGUGCAGGAUGAAGGCCU